GUGAGCAUUUCUGCUGCUGCUCGUGGCCCAGGUACAGAACCCGGGACAGCUGAAGGUAUUUCAGGGUGCUGACCUCUAAGGACGUGGUUUCAGGAGGAUGGAGCGUUGCAGUCCUGCUGUGUCAGCGCAUUUACUACCUGCCCCUGCCUCUGCACGGUACCCAGGACCUCCCUAAACACUUGGGGCUCUCGCCAUGUGCUGCGGGAGCAUCUCCUUCCUGUGGGAGAUGCUCCCGUGGGGGAGCUCCCGUGGGAGCAGGACUCUCCUCAUGCCUGCCUUAGGGACCUGACACAGUCCCAGCUGAGAGACGCGGAGGGGCAGGAGGCUGCGACUGGCAAACUCAGAGAAGGCUACUACAGCCCAAGGCUUCCCAGCGAUACGUGCCCUGGAGACCACGAGAGAAGAGCGAGGUGCACCAGGGGCAGCUGGCAGAAUCACGGAAUCACGGAAUCUUCAGAGUUGGAAGGGACCUCUAGAGAUCAUCUAGUCCAACUCCCCUGCUAGAGCAGGAUUGCCUAAACCACAUCCCUCAGGGCUGCAUCCAGGCGGGUCUUGAAAAUCUCCAGAGAAGGGGACUCCACAACCUCCCUGGGCAGCCUGUUCCAGUGCUCUGUCACCCUCACUGUAAAGAAGUUUUUCCGUGUAUUUGAACGGAACUUCCUAUGUUCCAGCUUGUGCCCAUUGCCCCUUGUCCUGUCGCUGGGAACCAUUGAAAAGAGCCUGGCUCCGUCCUCCUUAAACCCACCCUUUAGGUACUUGUAAACAUUAAUCAGGUCCCCCCUCAACCUUCUCUUCUCUUCUCUGCAGAAGGCACUACGAAAGCCCUGGGCUCAGCUCUUCCCUCUGGAGAAGGCUGGCUGCGGCGCGGGCCGUACACCCCAAGGUGAGGGUGCCCGGGAACAGGCGCUCGGGUAGGUUUGUGGUGCCAGGGGCUUGUCCAGCACAGCACGGCCGCUGUACGGACCCGCAUGUCCCCGGCCAUCCCCACCAGCAGAAGGCCACCAGCACCGGAGAGCUGCAGAGACGAUCCACAUGGUGACGAGAGCCCGGACAGCCAGCUUAAAUGGCCACAGCCCACGCUGGGCCGGGGGUCAAGGUUAACGGGCCCAGGACUAAAUGCAAACUGACGUUCACGAAGGGUUCCUGCAGCGUCCUGGAAAUGCGCAGAGACGUGGCUGGGUCACCGCUGACAGGCAAAGCUUUACAGAUCAAAAGCCCAAGGCAGGAAAGAGCCUGACCUCCGUGAGUCGGGGCUGGGGCUGGGAGGGCAGAGGGCGGUGGGAGCCGGCCGUAAUCCCCGCCUUCACACAGCAGCCUGGCUUCUCGCAGCCGCAGGAAUGCAGAGGAGGAAGGAUGCUGGUGGUCCUUCCCACCCCCUGGCAGGCAGUCAAUACUCUGCUGCUGCCUCUGCAGCGUUAUCUAGUGCCUGUUUGCCCUUGGAGUGGGAGGGAACAGGGAGGAGAGCUGUAGCAGAGGGGCAAGAGAGUAUUUACAGGGCGUCCGUCUGGCAGCCUGAGCCCCUUGACUCCCCCCCGUGCUGCUGUUGUCUGCAGGCACCGUGUGGUUAGGGCACUGCAAAGGCCGUAUGGGCGAGUGCCGGAAUGUGUUACGCAGGACAGAAGGGAUAAAUGGCACUGGGUGUCCACCAGCUCUUGCCCCCGUGCUUUGCCUCGUCUCCGAGCGGGAGGCGGGAGCAGCAUCCACCACCGCGCUGCUCCGAAACAGCCCCAGCAGGAGCAAACUGGGGUUUAUUCCCGCAGUUGGAAGCGAUGGUGGGGCUGUGGCAGGGACGCCAUCCCCCGGGAGCUGUCAGACAGACAAAGGGACGGCGUGACGCUGCCCGGGAUCCGUCCGGAGGGGCCGCAGCUGAGCGAGCGGGGCUGCGCAGGCAGCCUCCCCUCCACCAAGCCUUCAACCGCAUGCAUCGCCGCGGCGUUUGCGCGGCAAGACAGACUAAACCUCCCGAAAUAAACCUCCCAAAGCGCACCUUGUGGAAACGCGGGGGCCUCAGCAUCGCCUGUUUGGAUUGACGGAGCUCUUUCGACCGUGUGGGAUGCCGUGCUGGCGUGGGCGCGCUGCUUACAGCGCUGCCGAGACUAGGGAAAACAGAACAAAUGUGCUGAUCCAGAUUUGCAGCUCGGGCGUAGCGGGCUGUAAGAACAAGGUUGGUUACAGUCGGGGGAAUCUACAGUGCCCGCUCCCACAAGACCCCCCCAGGUAAGGGAAGGAGGCCGCGAAACUCAAAAUUGCCCCUGCGAAGAGGCAGCUGUAUCAUACAUGGGCUUCCCUCUGCUUUCCACAAGCCACAGCCAGGUGACACCAGGUUGAAGCUGCAGCGCCAGAAAAGCAGCUGGUGUUUGGGGUUACACAAAAGCGACGGGAUCUUUCUUGAAAGCUUCUGGUUCUGGUUUUAUGAGCUUGUUUAUUUUCUGCGCUGAAGGGAAAUGUCAUUGCCAACCCCCCCCCCCCACCCCCCCUGCUCUCCUCAGUAUAGCUCUGGCUAUAGCUGGGAGCCUGCGGUACGAAAAUAACGGUGUUGGAAUGAAAGUAAUUUGUGCCCAGCUGCUUCCACAACAGCCAAAAAAGAAUAAAAUGAAAAAAAAAACCAAACCAAACAUGUAGCAGCCAAAAAACACGUAUUGUGCCGGAGUGAGCAGGAGCAGAGCUCCGAUGCAGACCUUGCCGGAGCGGAGCUAGACACAGAAAUGUGCAUUUCUGCUAGAAGCAAAUGAAAACUGAAACGUAGCUGCUGCCAUGGCUGAACCGAACCCAAAACAUGCAUCUGCCGCACUCCCAUACAACCCAGACAUCGACUGUUGGAAGCCUUCUUUGAAGGCUUGGGCUUGUGCCUUCGGAGUGGGAUCGAAUUCUGGGCAAACGAGUGUCCCCGUCCCCUUCUCUCCCCCUCCUGCGAGGGCUGCGCUUUGCAGUCACCAUUCAGCACGCAGCUUAAUACGCUGGCACUCGCUGCUCCACCAGCUUGCUUGACUAUAAAGAGUAUUUGGACUCCCACAGUCGUUCAUUUAACCAGACUUUUCAAAGGAGUCCCUCUCCCUCCCUCUCCUUCUCUGCAGAGGAAUAAACAAGAUAAAACAGGAAGCAAAAUCAAAAGAAGUAGAGAAAAGGCAAAAAAUAAAAAAAAAAAAAAUCGAAGGAGGAAAGGAGAGCCACAGCCACAGAACAGAGCAAAUAAAACCAUUGUUGGGUCCCUACUUCUCCAAACCGAGCCAGCAGCCUGCCUGGGAGCACUUGGAGAGGUUUCUUUUUCGUAUCUGUGAGGGAGUAGGUGGCUCCAGCACACAAGGAGGGCAGGAACGGUACCGACCGCGAGCUGGACGGCCCUGUGCUCAGGUGGGGAGGGGGGUCAGCUUAGGAGAUGGGAUACGCCAGACUCCUGCAUCGCCAACGCAGGGAAUCAAGGUCCCCGAAAGAGUGACUCAAAUCACCAAAACUACCUUCUGGUCAAAUCCCAGCCCAGAGAGCUCUUGGUCAACUGGGAGCGUUGGACCCUGUGAGAGCUGGCUGUACUUACCUGGGGUGAACACUCCGCUGCCUCUACGAAUGCCAGCUGAUAGAGUCACAGAAUGGGUUGGGUGGGAAGGGGCCUCUAAAGGCCAUCUAGUCCAACCCCCUGCAGUGAGGAGGGACAUCUGUAACUGGAUCAGGUCGCUCAGAGCCUCAUCCAGCCUGGCCUUGGAUGUCUCCAGGGAUGGGGCCUCCACCCCCUCUCUGGGCAACCUGGGCCAGUGUCUCACCACCCUCAGUGGAAAGAACUUCUUCCUAAUGGCUCAUCUAAACCCGCCCUGCUCUAGUUUAAACCGUUGCCCCUCGUCCUAUCGCUACAUGCCCUUGCAAACAGCCGCUUCCCAUCUCUCCUGGAGCCCCUUUAGGGACUGGAAGGGGCUCCAAGGUCUCCCCGGAGCCUUCUCUUCCCCAGGCUGAACCCCCCCAGCUCUCUCAGCCUGUCCCCACAGCAGAGGGGCUCCAGCCCUCGGAUCAUCUCCGGGGCCUCCUCUGGCCCCGCUCCAACAGCUCCGUGUCCUUCCUGUGCUGAGGGCUCCGGAGCUGGACACAGUACCCCAGUUGGGGUCUCCCCAGAGCGGAGCAGAGGGGCAGAAUCAUCUCUCUCGAUCUGCCAGCCACAGUCCUUUUGAUGCAGCCCAGCUUCACACCUUGCCCGCUCCACGGUGCAAACCUGUGACUCUCGGCACAGAAGAGGAGCAGCUGCCCCCGGUGCUGGCUGCAGGACAUGGCCACCGGCCACCUGGGGGGCUCCCGACAUGGGCAGGCUGCUUCGGCAGAUGAGCCAGCUCAGAAAAGAGAGAAACAAACCCAAGCAGAUGGAAGGAGCGGAACUGACACAUGAAAGACAUCGCAAGCGAGGAGGACUUGAGGCCUCUAAUUAGUGCCUGCAGAAAAAUUAAUGAGCAACUCUGCCAGUGCAGGUGUCUCGCCUAAAAAAGCGUUCCAUCCCCAUGAGGUAUGAUGAGCAGAUAGCUGACUGGGACAGACAGCCCUGUCAGUCUGGGUCACGACAGAAAAACGCUCUGCUCCCGAGAGCAGUAACUUGCUAAUUCUCGUAAAGCCCAGACCUCUCCCAGGAGAGCUCUGCACCAGCUGCGGCCGCAAGGCCGGUGCCCCGCCAUGGGAGCUGCAGCUUCUGGGGAGGGACGCAGGUGCCGGCGCACCCGUAGGCAAUGCCCCGCUGGGGGAGGACGUGUUCUGGGAAAGACGAGGUCUGACGCCAGGGCUGCACGGAUCCGCGGGCUGGGGGCACGGAGGGGUGACUCAAGCAAGAACCGGCAGAGCAGCUGCUGCUGGAUCCCGCACGUCCGUGACUGACUGCGAUAAUUGCAGGGCCACGGAGGAGCGGGUGCCUCUUGCCAGCCUGCGUUAGUAACCUGUGUCCUCGGCUGCCUGCCUGUCUCCGCAGGAGGUCUGUUUUCCUGUUGGGGUGAUUUCUGGAUAUCUAGGAGUAAAUUAACUUCCUCACAAUAUAUGUUUAUACCCUAUGUACGUAACUCUCUCAUUACUCUCGUCAUUAGGAUCUUACUACAGGGAAUAGUCGCAUCUCAGAAACUAAGGCCAAUUAGGUCUGCUAAAGAAAAGGGAAGCCCCUGCCUAUAGGAAAGGAGAGGACAUCUAUACCAACAAAUACCCCCUAACCAUUAACAUUCCAUUAUUAAGACCACCUGAGAAGCAAAUGGAUUCCUUGCUCCUCAUUAUGUAUCACUACCUUAUGUGACUGAGCAUCAAUAUUGAUCUCUGGGAUUUUCACAGUCCCGAGCCUGUAAAUGAAUGGGUGUGUGCAUCUGUAUACAUGGGAACGGGUCCUUUCCCCAAAGGCAAUCCUCUUGUAUAAAUGUGUAGAGACUUGGAGGAAUUUUGGACUGUGUUAACAGAACCCUGAGCGUCUGGUCUUUCUCGAUGGACCUGGGUGAAUGUUCUCCUCUGGUGUUUUCUGUGUCAGCACAGAGAUGGAUCCUUUAAUUUGCUCUUGGAGCUGUUGGAACACAGGCAAGUCAAAGGUGCUUAACGCCGCCAAGCAAAGGAGGGGCGUUUUGGCACGUACCGAGGGAUGAAGAAGUAGACGCAGAGAGAAAUCUGAUUUCAGGUCAUGACCGUGUGUAUGGCAGAGCCAGGGAAAGAAACUCUGUCCCCAGAGCCAGCCCUCCCCAGUCUAGCACAGAAACUCCCCGGGGUUUCUCACUCCUGCCUCCGGCUGAGCCCGGACCGUGUGCCCAGACCCCAGCAGGUACCAGUUCCCAGCCGGGCAACCCAGCCUGAGACGGGUGGAUUUUAGGCUGGUGGUGGCGGUGCUUGUCGGGGAGCCCUGAGCUCUACCCAGCUGGCCGUAGACGUUCUUUGGAGCGCAGACCGGGCGCUGGGGUGGCACCGCUCCUCCUGCAGGACUUCUGCAGGGCUGGAAGCCCGCGGCUCGCCCCAGGGACAGACCCAACGCAGGUUCACGGGGUUUCAUCACCGAAGCACUUUUACCAGGCACAGAACGUGUCGCUUCUCUCGUCUCACACUAUAAGAUUGGCAGGUGUAUAAGUUGUUAAUUCUUGAAAGUAACGGGAAGCCCGACGUGAGAAAGCCGGGAGCGGAGAGCUGCCUGGGUCCCUCCUGUGCAGAGCCCAGCGCACCCCCUCCGGAUACCAGGCGUCGGGCCGCGGCUGGGCGAAGGCUGCCGAGUGAUGCCGAGUGAUGCCGCACGCUGAGAAAAGCGCGUUUGUGGCUGCUGGACUCCUUCACAACAGCACCAUUGUUUGCAGCCCCCAAGCCCAGGCUGCCGUAGCUAAUUAGCAUGUAGAAAUCAGCAUUCUUGCUCUACCCCUCGCCUCACCCAGGGAAGAGGGACACACUGCAAAAGCAGCUUCCCAAUGCUGCGCCUGCCCCCAGGAGGGAACCAGGCCUUUUCUCGCCACGUUUGUGCGGGGUUUCUUGGAUUUUUACCCCGCAUGCAACACAGGAGCUCCUUAGGCGGCACUGGGAGCAGGUUGAUGAGGACAAGCUGCUGGUGCAUCCGCGACAGGGGACCACAGAGCUGCUCCCCAGACACUUGACCCAGACCGUGGAUUACAAACGGGAACCUCCAGCCCUUGUUUUCCCGUCGUCAGUCCACUACUCUUGACACCCCAGCUCUUAUCGGGCAGCAGAAGGGCUGCUAUAGCCUGCCCAAAUAUGUCUCUCUUUUAUCCUAACUGGAUUCUGCUUAUUUAGCCUCUGCUGGGGAUGCUGAGAUCCCCAAAGGGUUGAUAACGCCUCCCAGCACCUAUAGAGGCUUCCCAUUGGAUUCAGAAGCUGGCAAAGUCACAAGAAAAGCACACCUGCGUGUUUCCAUGGGAUUUCUACUUCCUAGAAAGACUGAAAACAGGGAAUGUAGGAAGAAAACGGGGUUUUUUUCUUCCAAAAAGAGACGCUCCUAAACCUCCACAAACUACUAAGAAACUUGAUCUGACACAAUGUGGAAAUUGAAAACCAUUAUUGGAUUAUAAAGACACCGUGCGCGAGUCACCAAGAACGAUACUACCAGAAAAUGCUAAUAAAUGGUAGGGACAUUAUUCCUUUGGUGAAUUACUGAAGCGUUUUGAAGGAAAACACUAAAAAAACCCUCUGAUUGUGUAACGUAUUUCUGAGGCUCAAAACGCCGCGCUGUUUCUUGGUACAACGCAGGACAGUUCCAGGCCCCACGUGGCUGAUGAACAGGCCAAAACCGGUAUAUUCGCUUUCGGAAACCAACCUGAAUUUUACCAUUAAUUUCAGUCAGGCCUAAGAACGAUCCCACGUGCCCAGGGUGCGAUGUCUCCCACUGCAGCCGACUCCGCGGCAAGGAAACGGCAGGGGUUUGCCUGGAGUUGAACUGCCACUGUUCAACUGCAACUCUGCUUUAAAUGCCAAAUAUCAUGGGGUUAAUAGGUCGGUAUCUGCGAUUAUCUGACACGAAUACGCAAAAUACAGCUCCAAAAAUCAUUUAGGACUGUAACGUACUGGAAAUAUUUUUCUCAUGUGAGAUUUCACUAUUUCCACAGUCUUGGGAAAAGGUGAUAUUGUAAAGACACUGAUUCAACAAUCGGGGCUCGUUAAAAGAUGUCUCUCCCAUUUUCAACGGGUUACUUUGUUUUUAAGAGUUCUGGACACUUGCUGAAAGAGAUUAUAAAUAGACCAGGUUCUUUGACGUCGAGGUUAAGUGCAGUUAAUGAAUAAUUGCGUUCCGUGGUAGUAAUAGGUUUUAUCUGCAGGGCCCCAGUUACUUGAUAAUUUCUUGUAUGGCAACAUUUUUCUGGCUCGCAUCUAGAAUGCGAAUUUAAAUGCCAGAGCAGCCCUUGAGCUGCCACACGCGCUCGGAUUCAUUCCCUGUCUGUGCACCCAGCGCAACUUAUCCCGUGCAAUUAAUUGUACAGGAUUUCAGUUUGGCCACAAAAGCCCUGCAAGUGAUUUCUGCACCGGGAAAAGCGGAGGAAAAAAAAUAAAUCAAUUCUCCGUGGUUAGCCUGGAGGGGAGCGAACGUGACGUUAAGGUUUGCUUUGAUAAUUCCACGUUACUCUGUCUGGAAGCCCGCUGAGACCUCGUCUACCUGUGAAGUCCGUCACCAAGAGACUCAGAGCGAACCUGUCCUGAGCUUCAUCAGGACUCCAAGUGUUCCUCAAGGACAAGUUUACGGUCUCUGUAAUGAGCUCAGGUGAUCUUUACUUCUGAAAAGAAAGAAGAAAGAAAAUGACAAGUCAAAGAAAAGAGCAUGAGGCUCAUGAACUUUACGCCCCUUUAUGAAGGGGUAUAAAGAAGUCUUUCCAGACUUGACCACUGCGUUAGGCUCCCGUCGCAUUGGAAGGAGAGGCUACGGUGGGAUGGCCGAGACGCAGCGCGCCGAACGCCUCUUUGAACGUGAAACAUCUUUGUGCUUUCUGACAGCGAAGCGCAACUCACAUCAAAGCCUCUUCGAACGGAAACCUGUCACAGCUCACACGCAGCCAAAGGGAAUCGUCCCUCCGACACCGCACGCGCAGCUCUUUCUCACAGGCUUUGUUUCAGGCGUGCCGUUCUUUCCGUACAAGAAGGCGUUUGCCUUCGGUAUAUUUUGUAAUGUUUAUAUCCACUUCCAGACUGUUUAGACCUCCACCCUUCCAGGAAUGAAAUGAGAUCAUUUGCUCCAAAACCGUCAGCCUCCCAUCUUUUGCUCUGAUUCGACCUUGCAAUCUCCGAACUCUGUUAUUUAAUAACGUGUUUUUCAGCAGCGGCAGUAUGAGCAGAUGCCCACACACUUCUGGAUACAGGCAUUGCUGGAAGUUUGGUUUUAUUAGUCCAAUUAUUACAAUACCUGGACAAAUCAGUUUUGUUAAGCGGAGCGCCGGUUUUUCAAUUUUUGCAGGGCAAAGUGUGUAUAUUUCGUAAAAGCACAUUAUUGUUAUUUCUUUGGAACCGUGUGGUCUCCCGAGCGCAGUCGUGUGCGUUGACCUUUCCCCUUCGGUGUGUUUAACACUUCUCACGGCUGUUCUACCUCUAUGAGCCAUUCUGCCUUUUUUUUUUUUUUUUUUUUUUGAGCACUACCGCACUUUUGAAUUAAACAUUAUCGAUUUUUAAAUAUGCAAAGUCUCCAGGUUCCCUUAAGCUAAGACAUCUGAAAAACCAUCGCGUUUUCAGCGGCCGCCGGGCUCCUGCUUUGCAAAGGAACAGUUUGGUUCAGAAUUGGGCUCCGCUUUGCCACGUUGCAAGGAGUUGGGUCAGGAAACGUCGCGUUUCAGCUCUGCCCUUUGCUCACCGAAUGAUCCCGUUUUCCCUCGGAUGGGGCCUUAUCUCGGUGUGUACGAGUUGACACCACAGUGCUGUUCAACAGACAGACAUCCAGCGCUUUUCCAAAGGGUAACCAGACUGGAAACGGUGAAUUCCCGUAAGCGUUUGAAAGAAUCAACGCAGAGACAGCAAAACAAACCAUCCAGCACAGAACAGAGAUGCUUCGUGCUCAGCUGCCCCUGGGCUCACCAGCGAGAAACAGAUAAUUACCAACAAUCUUUGUUUCUAUAUAAUAUUUCUACAAGUAACAGGAGAAAAUAACCCCUGACAAUCCGUUCCCCUGUUAGCGCGUCUGCUCCUUUAGGAGCCAACUUCUCCCGUGCCCACAUUGUCUGACUUCAAAACCUGUAUAUCUCCUUUUUUCCCUUACAUUUUAAGACACACUAGAUGAAUCGCAAAUGCAAACAUUAACGGCGGACAAAAAAAAUAAUCAGGGUUUGCAAUUGCAGCUAUUAUUUUUUAUUUAUUCUUUCAGGUUUUUUUUUUACCCCCUUUAUGCGUUUGUUGUCAUAAGAGCUUUAUGAAGAAAUCGGAUACUCGUGCUUGUAGUCUUUGGAAGCACUCCAACUGAGCGUCAAUCUGAUUAUUUAGUGCUGUGCCUGCACCAGAAAUUAGCACAAGAACAUGCAAUCUGUUGUAUUUCAAAAAGGAAAAAAGAAAAAGUUAGAUAUGAUACAUAUAUGGGAAAAUGUAUGUACCUUUUCGUAAGCUGCCUUUGGAACUGAACCAAGCAAAUAACACCGGGGGGUUUCCAUUAGCUCUUAGAUUGGAUGGCUCCUAGCAAUGUUUAUUUAAUAUCUAUUGGAAAAAAAGUAAUCGUAUUUUGAGGCGACUUUGCAUGAUCUCUUCUGUUUAGUAAAUAUUUGCCUUAAAACACAUUUAACAAGACUCUUUUCCAAGAUGAUCAAUCUGUGUUUUGACUCACUGAUGGAGGCAAACUUGAAAGUGCUCCCAGCCCGGAUCACAAGCACAAGAGGAACCCCAGAGCCCCCCGCAGAAGAGACCCCAAGGAGACAGGAGCCAAGCACGCCCCAGGUCGCCAAACUGGGCAGAUGUCGUGGUUUACCUCCUGCCGGCAACUGAGCACCACGCGGUGGGAUGUGGAGGAGAAUGGGAAGAAAGAGUUGAAAAGUCCUCCCCCCACCCCCGCAGGGAUAAAGCCGGUUUCAGCAUGAGAUAAAAUUUCAGGAACUUGCCUGAGACCUUUGGAAAGCGCCCAGGAAGAGCGGUAUAACAACCUGAGCGGCGUCCCAGGGAAUCGUGUUCUUCGCAAGACUAAUCUCAUUUUACUCACAGCUCGUACGACCCACCUGGGUGCAGCCGGUACGCUCGGCCGUGCCAGGCGUGUCUCCGCUCCGCGCAGAGCCGCCUCUUCGAAAUCCCAGGGAACAGGUGGGACCAGGGCCUUUCCUUGUACCCGCCGUGCUCACCAGCAGCGCGGAUGUUUCCCCGCUGCGUAGACACUCCUGCACGUCUGCUCCCAGCGCGAAAUCUCAACGACUUGCCUGCAAUUCAUUAAACCAAGAGAUGCGGUAUUGGAUCCGACAAUCAGGAAUAAUGCCGUGAUUGCUUUCAUACAGUAGCAUGGAAGUGAGCUAAAUCAAAGAGGAUUCGGUGAUCCCUGAGAUAAUUACUGAGUAUACCGAACAGAGUACUGUUUACCUACAUAUUAAUGUGUCUACCCAUAUAUUUAUCUGUGAGAUUAUCAAACACUCUCGCGCUGCCCUCUGCUUCUCCUAGGUUUGUGCCUGAUGGUUAAUGUCUGCUCAUUAUGCAGCUUCUCAAGCCGGGCUUUUACCUUUCCACCCGGCCUACCCUAGGACUUAAUUCUGGGGCUAAGGUCCCUAAUUAGCCAGCAGUAAUUUGCUAUUUACAUUAAAAAUGCCUAAUACUCUAUCAGAAAGACAACGUUUCUAUUCCAUUCUAGGGGUACGAAAGCUCUGCCAGCAAAGAUGGGCAUUGCUGAGGUUCCCACUCUCACAAUUCAUUUCACAGAAUCCCAGCCUGGCCGGGGUGGGAAGGGCCCUCUGGAGAUCACCCCCUCCAACCCCCGGCCAGAGCAGGGUCACCCAGAGCAGGUGGCACAGGAACGCGGCCAGGCGGGGUCGGAAUGUCUCCAGAGACGGAGACUCCCCCACCUCUCUGGGCAGCCUGUGCCAGGGCUCUGCCACCCUCACAGCAAAGAAGUUCCUCCUCCUGUUGAGAUGGAACUUCCCAGGGGCAAGUUUGUGCCCGUUACCCCUUGUCCUGUCCCCGGGCACCACUGAGAAGAGCCUGGCCCCAUCCUCCUGACACCCCCCUUGAAGUAUUUAUCAGCAUUGAUAAGAUCCCCCCUCGGUCGCCUUUUUUCCAGGCUGAAGAGACCCAAAUCCCUCAGCCUUUCUCCAUCAGAGAGGUGUUCCAGUCCCCUCAGCAUCUCGGUGGCCCUUUGCUGUCCCCUCUCCAGCGGUUCCCCGUCCUUCUGGAACCGGGGAGCUCAGAACUGGACACAGUGCUCCAGCUGUGCCCUCUUUCAUGGGCUCUUUGAGUGCUGGGGCGGUUUUCACUGCCUUUAUCCCUGCAGCCAGCGCUCGCACUUGUGGAAAAGCAAUUUCAGAGAUAGGGACCCAGCUGCCACCCACAAGAGCAGGGGGGAUGGUGCCUUGCUUUGCUGCAGAAGAUGAUUCUCCAGACUUUGCCAGAAGUGACGGUUCCCGGAGCUGUCGUGAUUUCAGCGCUCCUGUUGUGGCACCUUUUUGGCCCUCAGUUAUCCGUCUCUCCUGUAGAAGGUGUCAGAAUGAGACCCCUUCCCCUGGAAACCCCUGUCACUUCGGUAAUAAAUAAGCAAAGCUUAUCAGUAACAGACUUCCUACUGAUUACUUCUCCAAAAUUAUCCAGAUAACGAUCAGUCAGCCCUCUUAAGACUGGAAAGGUAGAUUGUGGUGAAUGGGCUUGUGCCCUUCUCUGCUGAGGUGUUUGUUUGUUUUCCGUCCACCGAAGAGGUAUCUCCACACUGGAGCUGGAACCACAAAAGAGUUUAUUAUCCCAGAGCAACAGAGGGAGCUGGAGAGAAGACUCUAAGCCAGUCAACAGGUCAAACCAACUUGUGGAAACGUACAUGCCACCCUGGUUGGGUGAGUCUAGGGAAGGAAGGGGAUGUUUUAUCAAUGCACCGUUCCCAUAAAGCCCUCAAAAUCCCCAUCUCUAAGACGUGGCAGAGAACCAUUGAUCUGAGGUGAAAAUCGAACCGCAAGUGAACCGCUUGUCUUUCCCAUGUGUUGACUCCGACCCCAGCUGAUUUCUCCAACUGUCACUUAAUUAAUCAUCUUAUUUCAUUUAAUCAAUCAGGCCAUUGUGAUUAAUUGAAAUGCAUGUAUGCAAA